AGGUGCGAUCAUACCAGCAUUAAUGCACCAGAUCCCAUUAGAGCUCCGUAGUUAAACGCACUUAGGCUAGAGUAGUACUGGGAUGGGUGACCUCCUGGGAAGUCCUAGUGUUGCACCCU
rnacentral:rRNA from 1 species